CCUGCGACCCCGGCUACUUGCUCUACGGCCCUUUUUGCUACCGCUACUUCUUGGAGACCGAAAAAACUUGGCAGGCAGCUGAGGAUGACUGCGUCGCACGGGGAGGUCACCUGGCAAGCCUCCACUCGCAUGAAGACGGCAAAUGGAUGCUGGCUCACACAGGCAUUGGUUCUUGGCUGGGACUGCAUAAAACAUCAAACAAGUUUGAGUGGACUGACAAAACGUCUUCAGACCUCAUCUUGUGGCACCCAGGUAAUCCAGGUAACGAUCUCUACGGUGCUCUGUCGGGCACUGGAAUCUAUACCGGCAGCAGCCCGAGGCGCUACAUCUGUCAAAAAG